GACGAACGCUGGCGGCGUGCCUAAUACAUGCAAGUUGAGCGCUGAAGGUUGGUACUUGUACCAACUGGAUGAGCAGCGAACGGGUGAGUAACGCGUGGGGAAUCUGCCUUUGAGCGGGGGACAACAUUUGGAAACGAAUGCUAAUACCGCAUAAAAACUUUAAACACAAGUUUUAAGUUUGAAAGAUGCAAUUGCAUCACUCAAAGAUGAUCCCGCGUUGUAUUAGCUAGUUGGUGAGGUAAAGGCUCACCAAGGCGAUGAUACAUAGCCGACCUGAGAGGGGGAUCGGCCACAUUGGGACUGAGACACGGCCAAAACUCCUACGGGAGGCAGCAGUAGGGAAUCUUCGGCAAUGGACGAAAGUCUGACCGGGCAACGCCGGGGGGUGGAAGAAGGUUUUCGGAUCGUAAAACUCUGUUGGUAGAGAAAAACGUUGGGGGGGGUGGAAAGCUCACCAAGUGACGGUAACUACCCAGAAAGGGACGGCUAAAUACGU
rnacentral:rRNA from 1 species